AUGCCUGACAUAGACGUGCAAAAUGAACAUUCAGACAUUUCAGAUGGAGAGGGCCCAGUCCCCAACAGGACUCGACGACGAUGCUGGUCAGAGGAAUGCCAACUAAUGAUAAUCAUAACAUUAUGCUUCCUUUUUGUAAUUUCGACGUUUCUUGCAAUAGCCAUAGUAUGCAUGAAUAUUGCCUGCACAAGUAACACCUGUAACUCAUAUUGUCCAAAAGGUUACUCGCCCACAACAGAUGACUCAGACCCAUGUAAUGAAUGGACAGAAAAACAGACAGUAAGUCGUGAAAAACGCUCCAUGAAAUCACACCUACAACCCCCAAAAGGUAACUCAUGGUAUGAUCAACUUAAUGCAUCAGCUACUGAUGCCAAUAGAAUAAAUUGUGUGGUGUGUGCAGAAGCUCGCCCAAAAUUAAAGAUAGUCGGCUACCCUAUCCCAAAUGGUUCAUUAACAGACGGAAACGGGGUGGGCUGGGGAGCCUGGGCAGCAAGAAUGAAUAGCGGAGCUAAUAUGACACAGGUACAUCCGCUUGACUGUCUACUAAUGCAUAAUUAUGUACCCCAUAACAAAACUGAAAUGGCAUUCCUUGUAAACCUACUACAAACUCUAGAAACAGUAAUAAAUACAAGUCUACGUGCAUGUGCUCCAAAAGAACCAAUAAAGAACUUAAUAACACUUCCGGUAACGCCGCCUGAACUAGCCCAUAACAUGACCAUGGUCUGCCUAUGGAGACUUAGAGUCCCAGAAAAGCAGGGUGUAUCUUUUGUUUAUCCAAAUAAGACACGUCAUUUCGAUACUAACACAACACAUUGUAGUGAAAUAUGGUCCGUGGUUGGGUAUGGUAACGAGUACUCAAAUUGGCGUAACUGCAAAAACGAAACCGUAUGUUCAAUAUUAGGUCCAAAGAUAUACAACGUGUCUAACAUACACCUGCGCGCACCGAACAACACGCGCAACGACAGCCGUUGGGGCAGAGCUAUAAAAAGUAUACUAGUGCCAAAACUGACGAGACCAAUUCCUGGCCUAUUGUGGCUGUGCAAUGGCACCCUUAAGCAAAGGCUGCCUGGAAAUAUUAAUCCAAAUCCCAAAAACACAUAG
rnacentral:lncRNA from 1 species